GAUAGACACUCAGAUGAAAUGCAUGCAUUUAGAGAGAUAACGGAAUGGAAAGUGCACGAGGAUAGAACGCUGUGCAAAAUUAUGGAUCAUCGUCACGAGGUAUAAGAGAUCGAAGAACGAGUCACCGAACAGAUUGUACGGGAAUGCUUGACUAUGUAAUUUAGUAAACAUAAUUUAAUGUUUUCGUUUCAUAAACGAGUCAAUUUAUGCAUUUAAUGUAAAGUGUUUAUUUUCAAAAUAAACUAUCGAGUAGGUUCAAGACGUCUAUAAUGAAAGAAAUUUUAUGGUACGAAUUUCCGCUGCGACUUUCUGUCAAAUACGU
rnacentral:lncRNA from 1 species